CCCUUAGAUGUCCGGGGCCGCACGCGCGCUACACUGAAGGAAUCAGCGUGGCUUUCUCCCUGACCCGAAAGGGUUGGGAAACCCGUUGAAUCUCCUUCGUGAUAGGGAUUGGGGCUUGAAAUUGUUCCCCAUGAACGAGGAAUUCCCAGUAAGCGCGAGUCAUAUGCUCGCGUUGAUUACGUCCCUGCCCUUUGUACACACCGCCCGUCGCUACUACCGAUUGAACGGUUUAGUGAGGGCCUCGGAUUGGUCUCGGCCCGCUCUUUACCGGGCGGCGCCGUUGGUCGAGAAGACGCUCGAACUUGAUCGUUUAGAGGAAGUAAAAGUCGUAACA
rnacentral:rRNA from 1 species